CCUACGGGGAGCAGCAGUGAGGAAUAUUGGUCAAUGGCCGGAAGGCUGAACCAGCCAUGCCGCGUGAAGGUCAGUGCCCUAUGGGCGUUAAACUUCUUUUGUGCGGGAGCAAUAAUGGUCACGUGUGGCCAGACGAGAGUACCGUACGAAUAAGCAUCGGCUAACUCCGUGCCAGCAGCCGCGGUAAUACGGGGGAUGCAAGCGUUAUCCGGAUUUAUUGGGUUUAAAGGGUGCGUAGGCUGUGAGGUAAGUCAGCGGUGAAAUGCCCCCGCUCAACGGGGUGAAGUGCCAUUGAUACUGCCUGGCUGGAAUGCGGAUGCGGUGGGAGGAAUGUGUGGUGUAGCGGUGAAAUGCAUAGAUAUCACACAGAACACCGAUUGCGAAGGCAUCUCACGAAUCCGCGAUUGACGCUGAUGCACGAAAGCGUGGGUAUCAAACAGGAUUAGAUACCCGAGUAGUC
rnacentral:rRNA from 1 species